rnacentral:rRNA from 1 species
GACAUCCUCGGAACUUUCUAGAAAUAGAUUGGUGCNUUCGGGAACCGAGUGACAGGUGNUGCAUGGCUGUCGUCAGNUCGUGUCGUGAGAUGUUGGGUUAAGUCCCGUAACGAGCGCAACCCUUGUCCUUAGUUGCCAGCACAUAAUGGUGGGAACUCUAAGGAGACUGCCGGUGACAAACCGGAGGAAGGUGGGGACGACGUCAAGUCAUCAUGGCCCUUACGGCCUGGGCUACACACGUGCUACAAUGGCUAGGACAGACGGCCGCAAACCCGCGAGGGGGAGCUAAUCCGACAAACCUAGUCGUAGUCCGGAUCGGAGUCUGCAACUCGACUCCGUGAAGUCGGAAUUGCUAGUAAUCGCGAAUCAGAAUGUCGCGGUGAAUACGUUCCCGGGCCUUGUACACACCGCCCGUCACACCAUGGGAGUGGGUUGCUCCAGAAGUGGUUAGUCUAACCUUCGGGAGGACGAUCACCACGGAGUGAUUCAUGACUGGGGUGAAGUCGUAACAAGGUAGCC